AAUCAUCAACUCUAAAAACUUUGUGUUUUUUUGAGCUUGGUCUUGAGGGUUUUUUGCAGGCGGUUCCGUCUGCUCCCUUUAAAUGCAUUAGCGAGACUUCCCUGUGCUGAACCGUCUCUUUGACGUGAUAAUUAUCUACGUUGAAUUUGGUUCUCGUUGGGCUUGCUUCUAACCGUCCGUGAUUUUGGACAAACCAGGAUUUAGGUGCAUAUAUGCGCCUUUUUUCCAAACCUU
rnacentral:misc_RNA from 1 species